GGGGAAUAUUGCACAAUGGGCGCAAGUGUAAUGCAGCGACGCCGCGUGAGGGAUGGAGGCCUUCGGGUUGUAAACCUCUUUUGUUUGGGAGCAAGCCUUCGGGUGAGUGUACCUUUCGAAUAAGCGCCGGCUAACUACGUGCCAGCAGCCGCGGUAAUACGUAGGGCGCAAGCGUUAUCCGGAUUUAUUGGGCGUAAAGGGCUCGUAGGCGGCUCGUCGCGUCCGGUGUGAAAGUCCAUCGCUUAACGGUGGAUCUGCGCCGGGUACGGGCGGGCUGGAGUGCGGUAGGGGAGACUGGAAUUCCCGGUGUAACGGUGGAAUGUGUAGAUAUCGGGAAGAACACCGAUGGCGAAGGCAGGUCUCUGGGCCGUCACUGACGCUGAGGAGCGAAAGCGUGGGGAGCGAACAGGAUUAGAUACCCUGGUAGUCCACGCCGUAAACGGUGGACGCUGGAUGUGGGGCACGUUCCACGUGUUCCGUGUCGGAGCUAACGCGUUAAGCGUCCCGCCUGGGGAGUACGGCCGCAAGGCUAAAACUCAAAGAAAUUGACGGGGGCCCGCACAAGCGGCGGAGCAUGCGGAUUAAUUCGAUGCAACGCGAAGAACCUUACCUGGGCUUGACAUGUUCCCGACGACGCCAGAGAUGGCGUUUCCCUUCGGGGCGGGUUCACAGGUGGUGCAUGGUCGUCGUCAGCUCGUGUCGUGAGAUGUUGGGUUAAGUCCCGCAACGAGCGCAACCCUCGCCCCGUGUUGCCAGCACGUUAUGGUGGGAACUCACGGGGGACCGCCGGGGUUAACUCGGAGGAAGGUGGGGAUGACGUCAGAUCAUCAUGCCCCUUACGUCCAGGGCUUCACGCAUGCUACAAUGGCCGGUACAGCGGGAUGCGACAUGGCGACAUGGAGCGGAUCCCUGAAAACCGGUCUCAGUUCGGAUCGGAGCCUGCAACCCGGCUCCGUGAAGGCGGAGUCGCUAGUAAUCGCGGAUCAGCAACGCCGCGGUGAAUGCGUUCCC
rnacentral:rRNA from 1 species